rnacentral:piRNA from 1 species
AGAAAUGGGUCCUAUUUCAGACCUCAGUUC